CAGUAGCCGCGGGAAAACAGAGGGUGCGAGCGUUAAUCGGAUUUACUGGGCGUAAAGCGUGCGUAGGCGGCUUUUUAAGUCGGAUGUGAAAUCCCUGAGCUUAACUUAGGAAUUGCAUUCGAUACUGGGAAGCUAGAGUAUGGGAGAGGAUGGUAGAAUUCCAAGUGUAGCGGUGAAAUGCGUAGAGAUCUGGAGGAAUACCGAUGGCGAAGGCAGCCAUCUGGCCUAAUACUGACGCUGAGGUACGAAAGCAUGGGGAGCAAACAGGAUUAGAUACCCGAGUAGUCCCUGUCUCUUAUAC
rnacentral:rRNA from 1 species